rnacentral:rRNA from 1 species
AUCGGUGAAGAAAGCAGCGAAAUGCGAUAAGUAAUGUGAAUUGCAGAAUCCAGUGAAUCAUCGAAUCUUUGAACGCACAUUGCGCCCGCCAGCAUUCUGGCGGGCAUGCCUGUCCGAGCGUCAUUUCAACCCUCAAGCACUGCUUGGCGUUGGGGCACUACGCGCUGAGCGUAGGCCCCUAAAAUCAGUGGCGGACCCUCCGUGGCUCCGGGCGUAGUAUCAACACCUCGCCCUGGGACCGCGGCGCGUUCUGGCCGUUAAACCCCCCACUAUACUGAAGGUUGACCUCGGAUCAGGUAGGAAUACCCGCUGAACUUAAGCAUAUCAAUAAGCGGAGGAAAAGAAACCAACAGGGAUUGCCCCAGUAACGGCGAGUGAAGCGGCAACAGCUCCAAUUUGAAAUCUGGCCCCGGCCCGAGUUGUAAUCUAUAGAGGAUGCUUUUGGCGCGUUGCCUUCAGAGUGCCCUGGAACGGGACGCCACAGAGGGUGAGAGCCCCAUAUGGUCGGACACCAAGCCUCUGUAAAGCUCCUUCGACGAGUCGAGUAGCUUGGGAAUGCUGCUCUAAGUGGGAGGUAAACUUCUUCUAAAGCUAAAUACUGGCCAGAGACCGAUAGCGCACAAGUAGAGUGAUCGAAAGAUGAAAAGCACUUUGAAAAGAGGGUCAAAUAGUACGUGAAAUUGUUGAAAGGGAAGCGCUUACGACCAGACUUGCGCCGGGCUGAUCAUCCAGUGGUCUCCACUGGUGCACUCUGCCCGGCGCAGGCCAGCGUCGGUUGCCGCGGGGGGACAAAAGCUCUGGGAACGUGGCUCCCUCCGGGGAGUGUUAUAGCCCUCUGCUGAAUACCCCCGUGGCGACCGAGGUCCGCGCCCUGCAAGGACGCUGGCGUAAUGGUCGUCAGCGACCGGUCUUGAAACACG